rnacentral:misc_RNA from 1 species
AACGCACCUUGCGCCCUUUGGUAUUCCGAAGGGCAUGCCUGUUUGAGUGUCAUUAAAUUCUCAACUUCAAAAAGACUUUGGUUUUUUUGAUAGCUUGGAUGUUGGAGGUUUUUUGCAGGCUUUUAUCAGUCAGCUCCUCUCAAAUGCAUUAGCGGAACUUUAACAAAGGAUCGGCUUUGGUUUGAUAAUCCUAUCUAUGCCAUCGCUGGUACACCGAUUAAAAGUUCAGCUUAUAAUUGUCUUCGGACUGUCUUGCAAAAGGCAUAUCAUUUAAACUUGACCUCAAAUCAGGUAGGACUACCCGCUGAACUUAA